CUCAGGGUGUCUGUCCCAGGAACAGCUUAGGACACUAGGCAUCCCUGAUGUCUGGUUGCUGGAGAAUUCAGGAAUGCUACUGCACUUGAAUCUGCAGGGGAGCUGUUUCUUCUGGUCCCCUUUGGGGGAGAAUGCCUUUCUGGGAAAUCCCUGCCUGGGUCCCGCCAUGCUGGGGUAUAUGGUGUGGGUGUGGAGUCAGUGUGUGAUCUCUCUUCCUCACCUGGGAAACACAGCUUAUGAUUGCACCUGCCUCACACGUGUGAAGGAAGGCUCAAACACAGGGCUCAGAGCAUGGCCCGAGGCCCAGAGACAAAGCCCAUAGGCCUUGCUUCAGCUCUGGGAUGAGUCGGUCUUAGGGACUAUGAAGAACAGAGCUGUUCAGGCUGUAUCAAGUUUAGAAGACCAUGGUGACCUCAGAGGCCACAGUGUGUCUAAGGCCAAGGUAGGCAGGCUGGCCACCACAGUCUUAGUCACUAGGUGUCAUUGUGAAAGAUUAAAAAAAAAAAAAAA
rnacentral:lncRNA from 1 species